GAUGACAUGAGUUUUUUUUUUUUUAUUUUUAUUUUUUUUCCCCCAGCCAGGCCUAUGUACAAGCUCCUGGAUGGUGUCCUGAGCCCCCUGCUGACUCCGUUUUUCUGCAGGAAGGGGCCUUUGCAUGCUGCUUUUGAGGAGCACCAAAUAUUCUAGAAGCUGGAAACAAAAUCUUACACCAAUUAAUACGUUGCUGGGAAGAGCUCCAGUUUCACUGUAGAGACACCUUUUGAAGGCAGAAGCAGUGGGGACGGAUUUGCCCUGAAUGCCAGGGAAAAAACAAUCCUUCUACUGGGAGUGAAAUCUACAUCCAAAAUGCACGUUCAAAGCAGCAGUUGUGUGGAUAGGGAAAACAGGAUGUGAUCUCACAUUAUUCCUGAGGCUGCUGGGUAUUUUGUCUGCAGCUGGAGUCUUCACUAUUCUUCCUGCAGUCCUCUUCCACUUCAUCAACAAGAAGGUCUGCUUUGAAAAGAGAGGUGGACUUCCAUACCUGGAACAACAAGGAAGAAGAAAACACUACAAAGAAAAGUCCGGAGUUCAUGAGGACCUUGGUCUGUGGACAGCUGUAACCAGAAUGCGUGCACUUCAGAAAAGCUCCCUGAACUGUAAGUGACAUGCUGGCAAAACUGAACAACUGAUCACCAG
rnacentral:lncRNA from 1 species